rnacentral:rRNA from 1 species
GGUAUGUAAAGCUCUAUCAGCAGGGAAGAAAAUGACGGUACCUGACUAAGAAGCCCCGGCUAACUACGUGCCAGCAGCCGCGGUAAUACGUAGGGGGCAAGCGUUAUCCGGAUUUACUGGGUGUAAAGGGAGCGUAGACGGCAUGACAAGCCAGAUGUGAAAACCCAGGGCUCAACCCCGGGACUGCUUUGGAAACUGUUAAGCUAGAGUGCAGGAGAGGUAAGCGGAAUUCCUAGUGUAGCGGUGAAAUGCGUAGAUAUUAGGAGGAACACCAGUGGCGAAGGCGGCUUACUGGACUGUAACUGACGUUGAGGCUCGAAAGCGUGGGGAGCAAACAGGAUUAGAUACCCUGGUAGUCCACGCGGUAAA